GAUGAACGCUGACAGAAUGCUUAACACAUGCAAGUCAACUUGAACUUCGGUUUGGGUGGCGGACGGGUGAGUAACGCGUAAAGAACUUGCCUCACAGCUAGGGACAACAUUUGGAAACGAAUGCUAAUACCUGAUAUUAUGAUUAUAUGGCAUCGUAUAAUUAUGAAAGCUAUAUGCGCUGUGAGAGAGCUUUGCGUCCCAUUAGCUAGUUGGAGAGGUAACAGCUCACCAAGGCGAUGAUGGGUAGCCGGCCUGAGAGGGUGAUCGGCCACAAGGGGACUGAGACACGGCCCUUACUCCUACGGGAGGCAGCAGUGGGGAAUAUUGGACAAUGGACCGAGAGUCUGAUCCAGGAAUUCUGUGUGCACGAUGAAGUUUUUCGGAAUGUAAAGUGCUUUCAGUUGGGAAGAAAAAAAUGACGGUACCAACAGAAGAAGUGACGGCUAAAUACGUG
rnacentral:rRNA from 1 species